rnacentral:rRNA from 1 species
UACGUAGGACGCAAGCGUUAUCCGGAAUUACUGGGCGUAAAGAGCGUGUAGGCGGUUGUCCAAGUCACCCGUGAAAGCUCCCGGCUAAACUGGGAGAGGUCGGGUGAGACUGGGCGGCUAGAGGGUUGUAGAGGGAUGUGGAAUUCCGGGUGUAGUGGUGAAAUGCGUAGAGAUCCGGAGGAACACCAGAGGCGAAGGCGGCAUCCUGGACAACACCUGACGCUGAGACGCGAAAGCGCGGGGAGCAAACGGG